rnacentral:rRNA from 1 species
CGAAGGAGCUAGCGUUGUUCGGAAUCACUGGGCGUAAAGCGCACGUAGGCGGAUUUGUCAGUCAGGGGUGAAAUCCCGGGCUCAACCUCGGAACUGCCUUUGAUACAGCAAGUCUUGAGUUCGAGAGAGGUGGGUGGAAUUCCUAGUGUAGAGGUGAAAUUCGUAGAUAUUAGGAAGAACACCGGUGGCGAAGGCGGCCCACUGGCUCGAUACUGACGCUGAGGUGCGAAAGCGUGGGGAGCAAACAGGAUU